AGCGGCGGACGGGUGAGUAACACGUGGGUAACCUGCCUCAUAGAGGGGGAUAGCCUCCCGAAAGGGAGAUUAAUACCGCAUAAAGUAUUUUGGCUGCAUGGCCGAAAUAUCAAAGGAGUAAUCCGCUAUGAGAUGGACCCGCGGCGCAUUAGCUAGUUGGUGAGGUAACGGCUCACCAAGGCGACGAUGCGUAGCCGACCUGAGAGGGUGAUCGGCCACAUUGGAACUGAGACACGGUCCAGACUCCUACGGGAGGCAGCAGUGGGGAAUAUUGCGCAAUGGGGGAAACCCUGACGCAGCAACGCCGCGUGAAUGAUGAAGGCCUUAGGGUUGUAAAGUUCUGUCUUCUGGGACGAUAAUGACGGUACCAGAGGAGGAAGCCACGGCUAACUACGUGCCAGCAGCCGCGGUAAUACGUAGGUGGCAAGCGUUGUCCGGAUUUACUGGGCGUAAAGGAUGCGUAGGCGGAUAUUUAAGUCAGAUGUGAAAUACCCGGGCUCAACUUGGGUGCUGCAUUUGAAACUGGAUAUCUAGAGUGCGGGAGAGGUAAGUGGAAUUCCUAGUGUAGCGGUGAAAUGCGUAGAGAUUAGGAAGAACACCAGUGGCGAAGGCGACUUACUGGACCGUAACUGACGCUGAGGCAUGAAAGCGUGGGGAGCAAACAGGAUUAGAUACCCUGGUAGUCCACGCCGUAAACGAU
rnacentral:rRNA from 1 species